GAAAUGCGAUAAGUAGUGUGAAUUGCAGAAUUCAGUGAAUCAUCGAAUCUUUGAACGCACAUUGCGCCCCUUGGUAUUACAUGGGGCAUGCCUGUUCGAGCGUCAUUUGUACCCUCAAGCUCUGCUUGGUGUUGGGUGUUUGUCCCGUCUCCGCGCGUGGACUCGCCCCAAAGUGAUUGGCAGCCGGCGUACUGGUCCCGGAGCGCAGCACAUGUCGCGCAAACGAGUGCCUUGGUACGGCGGCGUCCAUAAGCCCCUCUCUCACGCUCUUGACCUCGGAUCAGGUAGGGAUACCCGCUGAACUUAAGC
rnacentral:misc_RNA from 1 species